rnacentral:rRNA from 1 species
UACGUAGGGGGCGAGCGUUGUCCGGAUUUAUUGGGCGUAAAGAGCUCGUAGGCGGCUUGGCAAGUCGGGUGUGAAACCUCCAGGCUCAACCUGGAGACGCCACUCGAUACUGCUAUGGCUAGAGUCCGGUAGGGGACCACGGAAUUCUUGGUGUAGCGGUGAAAUGCGCAGAUAUCAGGAGGAACACCGGUGGCGAAGGCGGCAUCCUGGACCGGCAUUGACGCUGAGGCGCGAAAGCUAGGGGAGCAAACGGG